AACGAACGCUGGCGGCAGGCUUAACACAUGCAAGUCGAGCGCUGUAGCAAUACAGAGCGGCGCACGGGUGAGUAACACGUGGGAACAUGCCUUUCGGUUCGGAAUAACUCAGGGAAACUUGUGCUAAUACCGGAUACGCCCUUACGGGAAGAUUUAUUGCCGAAGAGUGGCCCGCGUUGGAUUAGCUAGUUGGUAAGGUAAAGGCUUACCAAGGCGACGAUCUGUAGCCGGCCNGAGAGGGCGGUCGGCCACACUGACACUGACAUACGGGUCAGACUCCUACGGGAGGCAGCAGUCGGGAAUUUUGGGCAAUGGGCGAAAGCCUGACCCAGCAACGCCGCGUGAAGGAUGAAAUCCCUCGGGAUGUAAACUUCGCAAGAAUAGGAAGAAUAAGGAGGGGUUAAU
rnacentral:rRNA from 1 species